rnacentral:tRNA from 1 species
CAGGGUGUAGCUCAGUUGGUAGAGUUCCGGCCUUGGAAGCCGGUGGUCGUUGGUUCGAGUCCAGCCACCCUGACCA